rnacentral:lncRNA from 1 species
GGUAGAGGUCACCAGCAUAGGUCAGAGGGGAUAUUGUAUGUAACUGGUGACAUUUGAAAGAGACAUAUUGGACAGAAAUGACAUACGUGAAAGCUAAGAUACAAUAUAUUUAAUUUUCUAAGAAUUCAGUUCAAGGUAGUCUGCCUGGUUUCUCAAGUUCUGCAUGUUUCUUCAGUAGACUAAAUAAUGAUAAGGAAGCUGAGAUGUAGAGCUGAAGUGUCUUGCCCAAGAUCAUUUGUCUACUGCAGCUCCUGUUCCACUUCCUUUCUUGUACUGCUGAACAUCCAGAUAGAGGCAUUGACAUGCAUGGUUUCCAACUGAUCACUUCCUACUCCCUUAAGGACCUCCUGUCAGGCAGAUGCUGACCUCACAGACUCCCUGAAAGGAUCUCCAUGACCUCUAUGGUUCCUUAGACUGCACUUUGAGAACUAUUGACGUACAGGGAAAAAUGCUCUUGGUGUUCCAGUUAAGCACAGAAUAAAAUCUGGACUGUGUCAGUUUGUAAAGAUCUUAUGUCUACUUGGUCAUCAGCCAAGAAGGGAUUCCGAAGAUAGAAGAGGAGGCAUCAACACCGUGAACAUCAUGGCUGAGUUAUUUUGUGAGAGGGAUAAGCCUAAAGUAAAAACCUUGGAUUUGCCUCUGUCCUUGAACAUGCUAUCUGGAAAGAGUUUUCUUAAAAGUAUUGUUGUGAACACAUCCAUUUUCCCAGUAUAGUUGAAUGCAGGGUUUAAUAAAUGGAAUGAAUC